rnacentral:rRNA from 1 species
GACGUAGGAUGCAAGCGUUGUCCGGAAUUAUUGGGCGUAAAGAGUUCGUAGGCGGCAAAAUAAGUCUGGUGUUAAAGGCGGUAGCUCAACUACCGUAGGGCAUUGGAAACUGUUUAGCUAGAGUGCAGAAGAGGCAAGGGGAAUUCCCAGUGUAGCGGUGAAAUGCGUAGAUAUUGGGAGGAACACCAGUGGCGUAAGCGCCUUGCUGGGCUGUUACUGACGCUGAGGAACGAAAGCCAGGGGAGCAAAUGGG